AGCAACGCCGCGUGGGUGAAGAAGCAUCUUGGUGUGUAAAGCCCUGUCAACAGGGAAUAAGGUCAUGUGUUGAAUAUUCGCAUGAAUUGAAUGUACCUGUGGAGGAAGCCCCGGCUAACUCCGUGCCAGCCACCUCGGUGACUGAGCGGGCUGGCAAGGCGCAUA
rnacentral:rRNA from 1 species